rnacentral:rRNA from 1 species
GACGAACGCUGGCGGCACGCCUAACACAUGCAAGUCGAACGGACUUAAAAGAGCUUGCUUUUUUAAGUUAGUGGCGGACGGGUGAGUAACACGUGAGCAACCUGCCUCUGAGAGGGGGAUAGCUUCUGGAAACGGAUGGUAAUACCCCAUAAAAUAUAAAUAUCGCAUGAUAGAUAUAUCAAAGAAAUUCGCUCAGAGAUGGGCUCGCGUCUGAUUAGAUAGUUGGUGAGGUAACGGCUCACCAAGUCGACGAUCAGUAGCCGGACUGAGAGGUUGAACGGCCACAUUGGGACUGAGACACGGCCCAGACUCCUACGGGAGGCAGCAGUGGGGAAUAUUGCACAAUGGAGGGAACUCUGACGCAGCGAUGCCGCGUGGAGGAAGAAGGUUUUCGGAUUGUAAACUCCUUUUAUCAGGGACGAUAAUGACGGUACCUGAAGAAAAAGCUCCGGCUAACUACGUG